UACGGGGGGGGCAAGCGUUGCUCGGAAUUACUGGGCGUAAAGGGCGCGUAGGCGGUCCUGAUCGUCGGAUGUGAAAGGCCUGGGCUCAACCUGGGAACUGCAUCCGAUACGGCGGGACUGGAGUGUGGGAGAGGUUGGUGGAAUUCCCAGUGUAGAGGUGAAAUUCGUAGAUAUUGGGAAGAACACCGGUGGCGAAGGCGGCCAACUGGACCACAACUGACGCUGAGGUGCGAAAGCGUGGGGAGCAAACAGG
rnacentral:rRNA from 1 species